CAGGCCUAACACAUGCAAGUCGAACGGCAGCGCGGAGAGCUUGCUCUCUGGCGGCGAGUGGCGAACGGGUGAGUAAUGCAUCGGAACGUGUCCGAUUGUGGGGGACAACCAGCCGAAAGGUUGGCUAAUACCGCAUAAGACCUGAGGGUGAAAGCCGGGGACCGCAAGGCCUGGCGCGAACGGAGCGGCCGAUGUUUGAUUAGCUGGUUGGCGGGGUAAAGGCCCACCAAGGCGACGAUCAAUAGCUGGUCUGAGAGGACGACCAGCCACACUGGAACUGAGACACGGUCCAGACUCCUACGGGAGGCAGCAGUGGGGAAUUUUGGACAAUGGGGGGAACCCUGAUCCAGCCAUGCCGCGUGCGGGAAGAAGGCCUUCGGGUUGUAAACCGCUUUUGUCAGGGAAGAAAAGGGCGAUGUGAAUAAUGUCGUCUGCUGACGGUACCUGAAGAAUAAGCACCGGCUAACUACGUGCCAGCAGCCGCGGUAAUACGUAGGGUGCAAGCGUUAAUCGGAAUUACUGGGCGUAAAGCGUGUGCAGGCGGCGCCGUAAGACAGAUGUGAAAUCCCCGGGCUUAACCUGGGAACUGCAUUUGUGACUGCGGUGCUGGAGUACGUCAGAGGGGGGUGGAAUUCCACGUGUAGCAGUGAAAUGCGUAGAUAUGUGGAAGAACACCGAUGGCGAAGGCAGCCCCCUGGGACGCAACUGACGCUCAUGCACGGAAGCGUGGGGAGCAAACAGGAUUAGAUACCCUGGUAGUCCACGCCCUAAACGAUGUCUACUAGUUGUUGGGAAGUAACAUUUUCAGUAACGCAGCUAACGCGUGAAGUAGACCGCCUGGGGAGUACGGUCGCAAGAUUAAAACUCAAAGGAGUUGACGGGGACCCGCACAAGCGGUGGAUGAUGUGGAUUAAUUCGAUGCAACGCGAAAAACCUUACCUAGCCUUGACAUGUCAGGAAGGCGGCGUAAAUGCUGCCGUGCCCGCAAGGGAACCUGAGCACAGGUGCUGCAUGGCUGUCGUCAGCUCGUGUCGUGAGAUGUUGGGUUAAGUCCCGCAACGAGCGCAACCCUUGUCACUAGUUGCUACGCAAGAGCACUCUAGUGAGACUGCCGGUGACAAACCGGAGGAAGGUGGGGACGACGUCAAAUCAUCAUGCCCCUUAUGUCCUGGGCUACACACGUAAUACAAUGGCAUUCAACAAAGGGAAGCAAAGCCGCGAGGCAGAGCAAAUCCCCAAAAGGUGUCUCAGUUCGGAUUGCAGGCUGCAACUCGCCUGUAUGAAGUCGGUAUUGCUAGUAAUCGUGGAUCAGCAUGCCACGGUGAAUACGUUCCCGG
rnacentral:rRNA from 1 species